UUUACCAUUGUUUGGAAUCAAUUCGAUGAUCCAAUUCAUCCAAAUUGUAAAGCUUGUUAAUUAAGAUAAUUAUGGCAAAUAACAAGUUGAUCGAGGUUCUACUGCUAUUUAAUCGAAGAAGAUAUGUCUCGAAAAAAUUUGAAAAAAAGAAGGCCGGGUACAUUUGAUUACAACCUUAUUUGUCUUUUUCCUCACUUUUGGUCCUAAUCCGUUAUAACCGUUGCAAAUCCAAGUCGACCUUCGCCAAUCAGAGUUCCGAUCAUUGAGUCAACCGUUGCAAAGCUAAUCCGCGACUCGGGCGGCGAUCGGAGCUGCUGAACAUGACCACACUGCCAAACCCGUUCUCUUUGUAGAGAGACCCACAUCUGAAGCUCAGGAAUGUAAGCAACAAUCUCAGUGAAGCAGAGGAAGAAAAGGUAUACCAUUUAGUAUGGCACAAUGCUGCCCCUCUUAGGGUGCAAUGUUUUACUUGGAUGGCUCAGCUGGGACAGUUAAAAACUGCUGACUUCUUUCUAAGAUUGGGAAUCAUUCAAGAGGAUGAAGAGACAAUUUGUGAAUUCUGUGGAGAAGAAUUGGAAACUCCUAAUGACAUCCUACUGCUGUGUAAAUAUGUGUGGCAGGUAUGGUCAUCCAUCAUCAAUUGGUGGGGAGCUAAAUGGGUAACUUCACCAUCAGUCCCAUUUUUGCUGAAGUGGUGGCUUGGAUGGAAGCUAUCUCCAAACACUUAUCCGGAAUUGCAUACCUCUUGCAACCAUGUGGUCAAUCUGGAAAAUGCGAAAUGAGUGGCUCUUUCAGAACAUAGAACCGAAUUGGAUUGAGGUGGUGGAGCUCAUCAAAAUAUGAAUUGCCUUUUGGGUAAAAGCAAAAUGGGUGGAUUGUGUUUACUCUAUCAAUGAUUUCUCUUUCAGGAUGGGGAGCAUACUGGAUGCUAUCUAAUUAUCUCUUGAUCUAGCUGUGCGUCUGUUGUGAUUUUUGGGGCGGAUUGUGAGUCUUUGUGGGCUUGAAAUAAAUGAGUCUGCCUUUUGGUUUUGGUUUAGUGGGUUCUUCUUGGAUAUGAGUCUUGAUCUUUGGUCUUUUGGACUUAAUCUUUGUGGGUUUGGGCUUGGGUGAGUCUGCAUUAUGGGUGAGUCUGGUGCAUCUCUAGUUUUUGGGUCUGCUGUUUUCUGUUUAUCUCUAAAUUGUGUCUGCAGAUUUUUGUUUGGUCUGUUUGUUUCUACGUUGUUGAUCUCAUGGUGGUUUCCUAAAGUGUAUGAUGGUUGGGUCUGUUUAUUUUUCCAUUUGGGUCAGGUGUGCCAAUUCUAAGUACUACUUUGGGGAGUUUUUUCAGGUUUGUCAUUAGUCUCUAUUGUCAUUUGCCAUCCCUGCCUAUGCUUGGAUAUAAUGCAUAUGAUGGGGCUACCCUCUCUUUGAUGCUUGCUCUCUGGAGGAUUCUCUGCAAAUCCCGCCUAUGUUGCAUAUGAUGGGGCUUCCCCUGCCUUUGAUGCUUCAUUUGGUGGCUUGAAGAUGCUACUUUAGUCUGCUGGAUCCAAUCAAUUGUGGAUGCUUAUGAAGAAUUUUUUCUGCAAAUGCUGCUGCUGCAAUAUGGUGCCAGUCCAAUCUACUUCAGCUGCUAGUAUGGUCAAUCAAUCUACUUUUGGGAUGCAAACUGAAGGUACGGUACCUACAAUGACUUUGUGUCUAUUGGAACUAAUCAAACCUUGAAUCUGGGCAUUUUCAAGAUCAAUGUUGGUGUUCUUGUAUCUACUGUGGGGCUGCUGUUGGUUUUUUUUUUUGGGUUUAAAAUGGGUAAGCCAACUAAAGCUAAUCUGGUAUGCUUUGGAAUAAGGGUGAAUGCAAUAAUGCUACUGCUGUAGUAUUUCUGGAUUAGAAGGUGCUAUUUUUAGGGGAAGGCUCUUUAGUUUGAAACUCUGUAAGGCUAUUGCUGCUGUUGUUUUGGACCUUUGCUCAUGUUUGAGCUUUUCUUUCCUUUUGCUUGAUUUCAGUUGGUAUAAUGCGAGCUUAAAAUC